rnacentral:rRNA from 1 species
GACGAACGCUGGCGGCGUGCUUAACACAUGCAAGUCGAACGGAAAGGCCCUGCUUGCAGGGUGCUCGAGUGGCGAACGGGUGAGUAACACGUGGGUGAUCUGCCCCUUACUUUGGGAUAAGCCUGGGAAACUGGGUCUAAUACUGGAUAGGACCAUGCUGUAGGUGGUGUGGUGGAAAGAUUAGUUUCGGUAAGGGAUGAGCUCGCGGCCUAUCAGCUUGUUGGUGGGGUAAUGGCCUACCAAGGCGUCGACGGGUAGCCGGCCUGAGAGGGUGGACGGCCACAUUGGGACUGAGAUACGGCCCAGACUCCUACGGGAGGCAGCAGUGGGGAAUAUUGCACAAUGGGCGCAAGCCUGAUGCAGCGAAGCCGCGUGGGGGAUGACGGCCUUCGGGUUGUAAACUCCUUUCAGCCAUGACGAAGCCCUUGUGGUGACGGUAGUGGUAGAAGAAGCACCGGCUAACUACGUG